UAAUUAAACAAAGAAAAAAAAGAAAAAAAAAAAAGAUACGCCUCUCUCUCUCUCUCUCUCUCUCUCUCUCUCUCACGCGAAGCGACGGUGGCGACAGCUCUCCGAUUUCGAUCGCCAUCAUCUUCAAUCUCGUCGAAUCUGCCGCCUCGAACAUCAGGAGGUGAAUGGCUCUGCUGCGAAAGAUGGUAGAGCUCUGCCACAAGGGGGAUUCACUUGUUGUUUAGCCAUGGAUGGUCUUAAGGUUCUUGCUUCUGGGUUUCAGAUCGAUGAAAAGGUACUUCACUUCGUCUUCUCUUUGUUAGUAUAAUAGAUAUCGUUUGUAGUUUAUUAGGAUCCGUUAUUCCCCUUUUGUAUAGUGUCCAUGGGAAUGGUUGUGAGUUUUGACUCUAUGUUGCCUCAGCGAUCUUAGGUCAAGAUUGAGAAGCUAGUUACUUCCAUGGAGGGAGUUUUGGUUUCCAGAACUUCUUCAGAUGUCAACUUCGUCAUUGUCAAGAACGUCCUAGCUGCUAAGUACAAGUACAUAGGUGAUUUCCUUAGAACGGAGGCUUUCGAGCGGGAGGAAAGAUUUACUAUGCAGUAUGCACCUCUAGUGAAACAUCUCUCCUUUUCCCAGAAAUUGUUUUGGAUCAGUCUUUUGCCUCUGAUGACUAAUGUGGGCCCUGUAUGUUCAGAAGAAGCCAGUUGUUGCACUGAGUUGGUUACAUCAGUGUUGGAAUGAGCAUAGCAUCGUGUGAUGACAGCUUUUAAGAACUCCACAAAUUCACCGAGUCAGUGAUGACAGCUUUUAAGAACUGAAGUGAAAAACACCUGGGGGAGGGGGACGAGGAUAAGCAAGAAUAGUGAUCAGUGAAAGAGGUUUCUGUGGGGUGGGGGAGUUCGUUCAAACAAAGCUCACAAGUUGUAGAAUGUUGUUUCUAAUUUGAGGAUCAUGCAGCUUUUUUUUUUGUUUUUUACUUUCCGGGAAGAACAAUAAGUUAUAUUUCAGAUUUUACUCCUAUGUUAAGUUGGUACUCAUGAAAUCUGGAGAACAUAGUUGCUACCAAGCAUACCAAAGAUCAAUUUAAGAUUUUUAGGAAA